GCCUCCGUGGCGCAAUCGGCUAGCGCGUUCGCCUGUUAACCGAAAGGUUGGUGGUUCGAGCCCACCUGGGGGCG
rnacentral:tRNA from 1 species